UAUCCGGCGAGUUUAAGUUUUUUUUUUUUAAUUUGUUGGAUAGAUUAUAUCGAACAUUCCGGAGUCAGCGCUCAAUCGACAUCCUGCUAGGCAUUGGCAUUUUAGUGCGACUCGUAGCAAAACAGUCCGGCGCGCUGCAGCUGGAGAAUCUAAAAUUUAAGGUGCUUCUGUCGGCCGCUGACGAGAAUCUGGAAAAGCUAAGCAGCAACUCAUCCGGGAAGAGCCGACGUGGUAUGCGGUGUGGAAAAGUAAAAGACGUUUGUUGUUGUUGAACACUGGGCCAGAACAGAACACUAGAUAUAUUCUCGCUGCAUCAGAGAGUGCGUCGGCCGCCAAGGACACACUUAACCAGCUGGGCAGCAUUCCGUGGAAGAUCAACAGCGAAGUGAUGGCGUUGUUCAUCAGAGCAGCAUCUCCAUGCUGGACCUUUCCUGCCCUCCUUAUCGCCAAUCGAAGAAACCAAGAAGAAACCGUUCCGCGCAGUGAAUUGACCGGUUACGAUUGGUUCAUCCUUAUGCGCAAGAAGAUGACCCACUGGCGCAAAGCUCACCUGAUUCCCCCGCACCUGAACCACUCACUCUCUCCUUAGUUCGGUAUGAUUUUGUACACAUAAUUGAAUAAAAUCCUGUUUUUUCUGUUGAUACUGUUUAUUUUA